CCUACGGGUGGCAGCAGUAGGGAAUAUUGCUCAAUGGGGGAAACCCUGAAGCAGCAACGCCGCGUGGAGGAUGAAGGUUUUCGGAUUGUAAACUACUUUUGUUAGGGAGGAUAAUGACGGGAUCUAUCGAAUAAGCACCGGCUAACUCCGUGCCAGCAGCCGCGGUAAUACGGAGGGUGCAAGCGUUACUCGGAAUCACUGGGCGUAAAGAGCGCGUAGGCGGGAGCGCAAGUCAGAUGUGAAAUCCUAGGGCUUAACCAUAGAACUGCAUUUGAAACUGUUAGUCUAGAGUAUGGGAGAGGUAGGUGGAAUUCUUGGUGUAGGGGUAAAAUGCGUAGAGAUCAAGAGGAAUACUGAUUGCGAAGGCGACCUGCUAGAACAUAACUGACGCUGAUGCGCGAAAGCGUGGGGAGCAAACAGGAUUAGAUACCCCAGUAGUC
rnacentral:rRNA from 1 species